CACCGCGGUUAUACGAGAGGCUCAAGUUGAUAAAAACCGGCGUAAAAGGUGGUUAGCAACAUCAUUAAACUAAAGCUGAACAUCUUCAGAGCUGUUAUACCCACAUGAAGACAGGAAACACUUUUACGAAAGUAACUUUAAAUAUGCUCUCCACGAAAGCUAGGAGA
rnacentral:rRNA from 1 species